rnacentral:tmRNA from 1 species
GGGGAUGACCGGAUUCGACAGGAAAUACCAGAUACGUGUGGCAGAUCGGUGUUGUUUAGUCUGUUUCGCCGUAAGUAAGCAGAUUCCUUCCGGAUCAAACCGGAAUGACUAAAUAAGCGUCAAAAACAAAGUAUCAAGCUUUGUUGAGAACGUAAAGCUCGCCCUUAGCGGCAACUUUGCCCUCAACAUCGCUGCCUAAAUUCGCUUGAGCUUCGGCUCGCGAUUUAAGCCUUUCAUGGAAACUCUCCUUUAGCGGGGUCCCGUGGGAGAAAAACAAGCUAAAGUGCAGACUCUAGUGGCUUGUACGCCUGUUAGAGCAAAGUAAAAGCGUACAGUCGUUUCGCGGUUUACGCUAUCCUUUAUCGCGAUCCGUCUGAAACAGGAUGGCUAUAUCUGUAUACUGCAUGUGUUUGGCUUCUCUGGACGCGGGUUCAACUCCCGCCAUCUCCACCA